rnacentral:lncRNA from 1 species
GUGUUUUCUUAUUUCGCUAAAAUGGAUGUACUAUCCAAUUUUUUCGCUAAAUUGGGUGACCGAUUUGCUAAAAUGUCCCGAAACGUUUUGUAUAUGAGGUAUACCAUGAAAACUUUGUCGAUACAUAUGGUCACUGACGUAGUGCUUGUAUAUAUAAAAAAAGAAGAUGUGGUAUGAUUGCCAAUGCGACAACUAUCCACAAGAGAC